rnacentral:tRNA from 1 species
AUUUAAAUAAUUUAAAUAAAAUUUUGAUUUGUGGAAUCAAAUAUAUAUAUAUAAUAAAUUAUAUUUUAAAUA